AUGCCAACGGUACCUGCUUCCCCUACGACGUGCUCGUCGACAUCCGCCGCCGACGCGUCUGCCCCGCAAGUGGCCGAAAGCAGAGAGGAGCUAAUUAGUUUGUUGGAACAUAGCAACGGUGAGGAAAGUGAUAUUGUAGAUGAGCAAGAUGACAUUGAACAAGACCAUAAGGAUGAUGAGUUAGAGGAACUUGGGAGCAUAUAUGGUUAUGAAAAUUUGCCCAGAUUCACCAAUGUUGAUGGAAGUGCUGCCACCAACCUAGUUGUUGAAGAACAAGAGGAGGAUGAGGAUCAUGAUGAUGAUACGGAGGAACUAGGGAGCAAGGAGGAUUCUGAGUAUUCGUGGAACUCGGAUGAUCACAAAUUCCAUUGA
rnacentral:rRNA from 1 species